GUACACUCCUACGGGAGGCAGCAGUGGGGAAUUUUACGCAAUGGGGGAAACCCUGACGUAGCGACACCGCGUGAGCGAAGAAGCCCUUUGGGGUGUAAAGCUCUGUCAGCUGGAACGAAAACAAUGACGGUACCAGCAGAGGAAGCAUCGGCUAACUACGUGCCAGCAGCCGCGGUAAGACGUAGGAUGCGAGCGUUGUCCGGAUUUAUUGGGCGUAAAGAGUUCGUAGGUGGUUUGUUAAGUUUGGUGUUAAAGAUCGGGGCUCAACCCUGGGACUGCACUGAAUACUGGCAGACUCGAGUGUGGUAGAGGCUAGUGGAAUUCCCAGUGUAGCGGUGAAAUGCGUAGAUAUUGGGAAGAACACCGGUGGCGUAGGCGACUAGCUGGGCCAUAACUGACGCGGAGGAACGAAAGCCAGGGGAGCGAAUGGGAUUAGAAACCCGAGUAGUCC
rnacentral:rRNA from 1 species